rnacentral:rRNA from 1 species
UAGGGAAUCUUCCGCAAUGGACGCAAGUCUGACGGAGCAACGCCGCGUGAGUGAAGAAGGUUUUCGGAUCGUAAAGCUCUGUUGUUAAGGAAGAACGAGUGUGAGAAUGGAAAGUUCAUGCUGUGACGGUACUUAACCAGAAAGGGACGGCUAACUACGUGCCAGCAGCCGCGGUAAUACGUAGGUCCCGAGCGUUGUCCGGAUUUAUUGGGCGUAAAGCGAGCGCAGGCGGUUAGAAAAGUCUGAAGUGAAAGGCAGUGGCUCAACCAUUGUAGGCUUUGGAAACUGUUUAACUUGAGUGCAGAAGGGGAGAGUGGAAUUCCAUGUGUAGCGGUGAAAUGCGUAGAUAUAUGGAGGAACACCGGUGGCGAAAGCGGCUCUCUGGUCUGUAACUGACGCUGAGGCUCGAAAGCGUGGGGAGCGAACAGG